UCCGCAGUAGCUCAGUGGUAGUAGCGUUUGCCUGUUAAGCAAAAUGUCGUACGUUCGAUCCGUACCUGCGGAGCCA
rnacentral:tRNA from 1 species